rnacentral:rRNA from 1 species
AGAAAAUCAGGGGGAAAAGUGGGGUGUUGGAAACGAAGGCCAGGCCAGCCGAGCAGAGCUGUUCGUUGUUGUUAUAAAGCCGCAACUUGUUCCCUUCCCCCUCCCUCCCAAUCUGCCUGCGCUCCGCUCCCUCAUCACUCUCCCCCCUCCGCGCCCGCCGGAUCACCCGCCGGCCUCCGCUCUCUCUCUCUCUCCACCAUCGCCUACGAGCUAGGAGUAGUGGGCUACGACCUACGAGUGAGUGAUAGCCCGCAACUCUGUCCCGCCAUUACUCCACCCUCAUAACAGAGGAAGCAGGGAGCAGAGGAGGCGGAGAAGAGCCGGGAAAGAGCACGCCGGCAGGCAAGGCAGGCAGAGAGUAAUCCUUCCGCUCUGCGGCCGUACCUUCACCCGGGCGGCGCGGCGGCCACCACCACCACGCUCCUAGGCUCCUAGCUAGCUAGCUACCGUAGCUACGAGCGAGCCAGCAGAGAGCCCACUCCUGCAUCAAUCGCACAGUAAAUUCCGGCGCACCCUGCAUUCACUGCCCCGUCCGUCCGGCCGGCCAAAUCUUUUCUGAUCCUCCUCCUCAUCGCGAGAAAAGCAAAGCACAGCGCAGCCGCGUGGUGAGAGAACGGGGGAGAGGCGAGGAUGGUGCCGCGCGAGCAUGGGGACGAGGCCAUCGUGGCGGACGGGCACGGCAAGGAGGAGGAGGUCGGGGUGAUGGGCGUGAGCAGCGGCGGCGCGGACGGCGACGAGGAGCAGCACGGCGGCGGCGGCGGCAAGUUCAGCGUGACCAGCUUCCUCUGGCACGGCGGCUCCGUGUGGGACGCCUGGUUCAGCUGCGCCUCCAACCAGGUGGCGCAGGUGCUGCUGACGCUGCCCUACUCCUUCUCGCAGCUGGGGAUGCUCUCGGGCAUCCUGCUGCAGCUCUUCUACGGCUUCCUCGGCAGCUGGACCGCCUACCUCAUCAGCGUCCUCUACGUCGAGUACCGCUCCCGCAAGGAGAAGGAGGGCGUCAGCUUCAAGAACCACGUCAUCCAGUGGUUCGAGGUGCUGGACGGGCUGCUGGGCCCGUACUGGAAGGCGGCCGGGCUGGCCUUCAACUGCACCUUCCUGCUCUUCGGCACCGUCAUCCAGCUCAUCGCCUGCGCCAGUAACAUCUACUACAUCAACGACCGGCUGGACAAGCGGACGUGGACGUACAUCUUCGGCGCCUGCUGCGCCACCACCGUCUUCAUCCCGUCCUUCCACAACUACCGGAUCUGGUCCUUCCUGGGCCUGGGCAUGACCACCUACACGGCCUGGUACCUGGCCAUCGCCGCGCUCAUCAACGGGCAGGUGGAGGGCGUCACCCACACCGGCCCCAACAAGCUCGUCCUCUACUUCACCGGCGCCACCAACAUCCUCUACACCUUCGGCGGACACGCCGUCACCGUGGAGAUCAUGCACGCGAUGUGGAAGCCGGCCAAGUUCAAGUACAUCUACCUGCUGGCGACGCUGUACGUGUUCACGCUGACGCUGCCGUCGGCGUCGGCCAUGUACUGGGCGUACGGGGACGAGCUGCUGGCGCACGCCAACGCCUUCUCGCUGCUGCCCAAGACGGCGUGGCGGGACGCGGCCGUCAUCCUCAUGCUCAUCCACCAGUUCAUCACCUUCGGCUUCGCCUGCACGCCGCUCUACUUCGUGUGGGAGAAGGUGAUCGGCAUGCACGACACCAAGAGCGUCUGCCUCCGCGCCCUCGCCAGGCUCCCCAUCGUCGUCCCCAUCUGGUUCCUCGCCAUCAUCUUCCCCUUCUUCGGCCCCAUCAACUCCGCCGUCGGCGCCCUCCUCGUCAGCUUCACCGUCUACAUCAUCCCCGCCCUCGCCCACAUGCUCACCUACCGAUCCGCAUCCGCACGCGCCAACGCGGCGGAGAAGCCGCCCUUCUUCCUGCCGAGCUGGACGGGGAUGUUCGUGCUCAACGCCUUCAUCGUGGUGUGGGUGUUCGUGGUCGGCUUCGGCCUCGGCGGCUGGGCCAGCAUGGUCAACUUCAUCCGCCAGAUCAACACCUUCGGCCUCUUCGCCAAGUGCUACCAGUGCCCCAAGCCCGGCGCCGCCAUCGUCGCUCCUGGCCCCUCCUCCUUGCACCACUAGCUCCCUCGCCGUCGCCCGGGACCGUGACACUGCCAUGCCACUGGCCGGUGGGAAGCAAGCAAGGAGCUCGAGAAGCUUCCCCUCCCGCUCCCGGCGGCCGGCACGGCGGAUCCAUUACUGUUGCUUGCUAGGUUUUGGUCGCCUUGUAAUAUACAAGCCUCGCCUCUCCUAGGGCGUCCGUCAGUGUCACACCGCACCGUAGUAGAACAGCAGGGUGACCGGGUCCCUAAGACCACGUCCGUUGCUUCCCCCUGCCAGACCCGUUGGUAGUACGUACGUACGUGUCCGUGUGUUUGUGUUUGGCUUGCCCCACCAAUAUAUAUGUGAUGGUCUUCAUGGCUUAUAAGAUUUGCAUGCAGCUCAUGGGACAUUUCAUAUGAUGAUGAAUUGAAUUGAUGAUGG